rnacentral:rRNA from 1 species
AUUGAACGCUGGCGGCAGGCCUAACACAUGCAAGUCGAACGAGUGGCGGACGGGUGAGUAAUGUCUGGGCAACUGCCUGAUGGAGGGGGAUAACUACUGGAAACGGUAGCUAAUACCGCAUACCAUCAGAUGUGCCCAGCUGGGAUUAGCUAGUUGGUGGGGAAACGGCUCACCAAGGCGACGAUCCCUAGCUGGUCUGAGAGGCUGACCGGCCACACUGGAACUGCGACACGGUCCGGAAUCUUACGGGAGGCAGAAGGGGGGAAUAUUGGAAAAUGGGCGCAAGCCUGAUGCAGCCAGGCCGCGUGUAUGAAGAAGGCCUUCGGGUUGUAAAGUACGUUCAGCGGGGAGGCGUUACCCGCAGAAGAAGCACCGGCUAACUCCGUGCCAGCAGCCGCGGUAAUAC